rnacentral:piRNA from 1 species
UGGGUUUAUUGUUUGGAAGAAGCACCAUGC